GUUAGAUUGAGAGCGCACAGUGCAAGAAUUGCAUCGUAUGGGCCAAAAGUGACACUUUGGCUAGGGACAUAAUCAAGCAAGCACCAGAUACUACAGUGGGAUACAUUGUGAUGGUGGAUCAUUCAACUGGGGUGAGAAGCAACCUGCUAAGAAUGAAGGGUGCUAGGGUUGUGGGAGUCUAUCAUCCCUUGAUCGAUGAAGAAUUAGUCAGAGUCGUGCGUCGGAGAAACAAAGAUGUUUAUGCGUGGACUGUGGAUGAUGCUGAUUCUAUGAAAAGGAUGCUU